UACGAAGGGGGCUAGCGUUGCUCGGAAUGACUGGGCGUAAAGGGCGCGUAGGCGGAGUGGCACAGUCAGAUGUGAAAUUCCCGGGCUUAACCUGGGGGCUGCAUUUGAUACGUGUUGUCUAGAGUGAGGAAGAGGGUUGUGGAAUUCCCAGUGGUAGAGGUGAAAUUCGUAGAUAUUGGGAAGAACACCGGUGGCGAAGGCGGCAACCUGGUCCGUUGACUGACGCUGAGGCGCCGAAAGCGUGGGGAGCAAACAGG
rnacentral:rRNA from 1 species